rnacentral:rRNA from 1 species
GUGGGGAAUCUUGGACAAUGGAGGAAACUCUGAUCCAGCCAUGCCGCGUGAGUGAUGAAGGCCUUCGGGUUGUAAAACUCUUUUGGCGGGGACGAUAAUGACGGUACCCGCAGAAUAAGCUCCGGCUAACUUCGUGCCAGCAGCCGCGGUAAUACGAAGGGGGCUAGCGUUGUUCGGAAUUACUGGGCGUAAAGCGUGCGCAGGCGGCUGCUCAAGUCAGGGGUGAAAGCCCAGAGCUCAACUCUGGAAUUGCCUUUGAGACUGAGUGGCUUGAGUACGGGAGAGGUGAGUGGAAUUCCCAGUGUAGAGGUGAAAUUCGUAGAUAUUGGGAAGAACACCGGUGGCGAAGGCGGCUCACUGGCCCGUAACUGACGCUCAGGCACGACAGCGUGGGGAUCAAACAGGAUUAGAAACCCCGGUAGUCC